UACGUAGGUGACGAGCGUUAUCCGGAAUUACUGGGCGUAAAGCGCACGCAAGCGGUUGGACAAGUCUGGCGUGAAAUCCUCUGGCUUAACCAGGGGCGGUCGCUGGAGACUGUUCGGCUUGAGGCGAUGAGAGGGGUGCAGAAUUCCCGGUGUAGUGGUGGAAUGCGUAGAGAUCGGGAGGAAUACCAGUGGCGAAAGCGGCACCCUGGCGUCGUACUGACGCAAAUGUGCGAAAGCGUGGGGAGAGAACGGG
rnacentral:rRNA from 1 species